AACGAACGCUGGCGGCAGGCCUAACACAUGCAAGUUGAACGCCCGUAGCAAUACGGGAGUGGCAGACGGGUGAGUAACGCGUGGGAACGUGCCCUUCGGUUUGGAAUAACUCAGGGAAACUUGAGCUAAUACCAAAUACGUCCGUAAGGAGAAAGAUUUAUCGCCGAAGGAUCGGCCCGCGUCGGAUUAGCUAGUUGGUGAGGUAACGGCCCACCAAGGCGACGAUCCGUAGCUGGUCUGAGAGGAUGAUCAGCCACACUGGGACUGAGACACGGCCCAGACUCCUACGGGAGGCGAGCAGGUGGGGAAGUAUUGGACAAUGGGCGGAAAAGCCUGAUCCAGCCAUGCCGCGUGAGUGAAGAAGGCC
rnacentral:rRNA from 1 species